CUGCUGCCUUCCGUAGGAGUCUGGUCCGUGUCUCAGUACCAGUGUGGGGGACCUUCCUCUCAGAACCCCUACGCAUCGUCGCCUCGGUGGGCCGUUACCCCGCCGACUAGCUAAUGCGCCGCAUGGCCAUCCGCAGCCGAUGAAUCUUUAACCGCCGAGGGAUGCCCCUCCGCGGUGUUACGCGGUAUUAGACGGAAUUUCUUCCGCUUAUCCCCCUGCUGCGGGCAGGUUCCAUACGUGUUACUCACCCGUGCGCCGGUCGCCGGCGGG
rnacentral:rRNA from 1 species